AUUGAACGCUGGCGGCAUGCUUUACACAUGCAAGUCGAACGGCAGCGGGGUAGUGCUUGCACUACUGCCGGCGAGUGGCGAACGGGUGAGUAAUAUAUCGGAACGUACCGAGUAAUGGGGGAUAACCAAUCGAAAGAUUGGCUAAUACCGCAUACGUCCUAAGGGAGAAAGCGGGGGAUCGCAAGACCUCGCGUUAUUCGAGCGGCCGAUAACUGACUAGCUAGUUGGUGGGGUAAAGGCCUACCAAGGCGACGAUCAGUAGCGGGUCUGAGAGGACGAUCCGCCACACUGGGACUGAGACACGGCCCAGACUCCUACGGGAGGCAGCAGUGGGGAAUUUUGGACAAUGGGGGCAACCCUGAUCCAGCCAUGCCGCGUGUAUGAAGAAGGCCUUCGGGUUGUAAAGUACUUUUGUUAGGGAAGAAAAGGGAAGUGCUAAUACCACUUUUUGCUGACGGUACCUAAAGAAUAAGCACCGGCUAACUACGUGCCAGCAGCCGCGGUAAUACGUAGGGUGCGAGCGUUAAUCGGAAUUACUGGGCGUAAAGCGAGCGCAGACGGUUACUUAAGCAGGAUGUGAAAUCCCCGGGCUUAACCUGGGAACUGCGUUCUGAACUGGGUAGCUAGAGUAUGUCAGAGGGGGGUAGAAUUCCACGUGUAGCAGUGAAAUGCGUAGAGAUGUGGAGGAAUACCGAUGGCGAAGGCAGCCCCCUGGGAUGAUACUGACGUUCAUGCUCGAAAGCGUGGGUAGCAAACAGG
rnacentral:rRNA from 1 species